UACGUAGGGGGCGAGCGUUGUCCGGAUUUAUUGGGCGUAAAGAGCUCGUAGGCGGCUCGGUAAGUCGGAUGUGAAACCUCCAGGCUCAACCUGGAGACGCCAUCUGAUACUGCCGUGGCUUGAGUCCGGUAGAGGAGCAGGGAAUUCCUGGUGUAGCGGUGAAAUGCGCAGAUAUCAGGAGGAACACCGGUGGCGAAGGCGGGUCUCUGGGCCGAUACUGACGCUGAGGAGCGAAAGCGUGGGGAGCGAACAGG
rnacentral:rRNA from 1 species